rnacentral:sRNA from 1 species
CAACAACACACUGCGGAACGAAAAAGAUAAGGGAGGGCAGCACAAGGAACGAGACAUUAAAGCGCACAGUACACAAUGAAAUCAUAGCAACGUUGUUCGCCAUUAUAUUCGGAAAGAGGAGGCAGGGGCCUUUUUGGUUUCUUUCUAAUCAUUUUGAUAUGUUGAAACUCGCUUGAGACCCCUUGUGGUUCCUUAAAGCUUAUAAGGUUUAAGGCAAAACCUUAUAAAAGUUAAACAUAGAUACUUAAAAGUGCAUUAAGCUAUGAGUGGCAUAAUUACAACACCCAAAAGAUCGAGUCACACAGUUUUUUCCCCAACUUUGCUUGUAAUGCCAAUUAUCAAUUAUCUAUAAUGCCAAUUCUCCGGACUUGGCAUUAUGGGAAACUUAUCGUUAGCAAACGGCAUUAAACACCGCUACCGUACGGUGUUGAUGAUAUAAAGCAUUUGCUAAUUUACAAAGUAAUACUUGUACCGACAGGUAAUUUUUCUAUCAGUAUAACGAUGUUCGCCCACUAUAUUCUAAACCAUUAAAAAAUAUGAUCAGGUGGGAUUGUAAAUGCCCUACAUAAGGGUUUGAGCUUAAGAACGCAAUUGCCCAUCAUAAGGUUAGUUGAAAAAAUUUUCAGCCAAGCAUUUCUCUAUGCAUUACCAAUUGCAUUAUCGUCAUACGUUUUUUUGCACGCAUUUAUGUCGAGGGCUCCCUUGAAUGCAGAAGGCCUGCAGUUUUAACCCUCGUUCGCUGCUGGUGUGCUAAAUGCACACAGCAAAUGGAAGCAAAUGAACGAUCUGAGCUAAACUGAACUGAACCGAACUGAGGGAAAAAACUCUGAAAACAACAUAAGCCAUCACAAAAAUUGUAAUAAAAGCAGCUCUCUACGACACAAACACCAACAACAACGACAUCGAGCGACCGAGUAGAAUAACACCGAGGCAAACAACAUUCAAUGUGCCAGAGUUACCCUGUAAGUGAGCAUACUUACUAACUAAAGUUCUAUUAUUUAAGGGAAUAUUCGGCAAAUAUCAACAGAAGAAAAUUGUAAGCACCAGUAUUUAGUAAAAUUUUAGUGGCGGCAUCCCUGAUUUGUGCUGAACAAACGAACCCAACUUUAUUUUUGAGCAGCAACAAACCAACGAAGCAACCAGCCAGCCAGCCAUCCAUCCAUUCAUUGAUAUUUUCAUACAUACGGACGAAAUUGUGUGUGUGUGUGAGUGCGGGUACAUAUAUGUACGUGUGUAUCCAGUAUCUAUGGCUGUACGAAUAACGUCAGCCAACAGUCAGCUAGCCAGCCAACCCCAGUUUUUCAGAUUCAACGACGUCGCAUCAGCCCAGCACAAGCACCAAGGCACUGGCAAAGGCAAAAGCAAGCAAACAACUUAUGGAGCAUUGUACAAACGGGCAUUAAAGUUGAAUUUUUUCAUCUUUUUUUCUUCUUUUUCGUAAUCAGAAUAAAAUGAAAACUCACUUAAAUGGGCACAGUGGGCCUAAAAUUUUUCAAGGCACAAUCUAA